AUGCACAUUUUUUCAUUCUCCCUGAAUCCACCGGUAUUGGUCUUUGUUCAAAGCAAAGAGAGGGCAAAAAAGCUCUACAGAGAGCUGGUAUAUGACGACAUUAGAGUUGAUGUAAUCCAUGGAGACCUUACUGAAGAGCAGCGUCAAGAUGCUGUUCAUUUGAGAGCUGGAAAAAGCUGGGUGCUAAUAGCAACAGAGAUUCUUGCGCGGGGAAUGGAUUUCAAAUGUGUCAACUGUGUAAUCAACUAUGAUUCCUUGAGUCCGCGUCUGCCUAUUCACAGAAUAGGACGGUCUGGAAGAGCAGGCAGAUCGGGGGAGGUGAUCACGUUCUUCACGGAGGAGGACAAGCCGUUCCUGCGGAACAUCGCCAACAUACUGGUAUGUUCGGGCUGCGAGGUUCCUUCCUGGAUGGUGGCAUUGCCCAAGCUCAAUAGCAGGAAGCACAGGGUGGACAGGGACCGCAUCUCCUUUUUAACCGAUGAAGAUUGA
rnacentral:rRNA from 1 species